UUUACCUCCAGGCUGAUGUUUUGCCCCACCUCGCAUGUCUGUCCAAAAUCUUUCAAAAAGCAAAUGUCAACUUUUUACAAAUCAAGGAGCAGGUUCCUGUCACAAUUCAGUCUCUGGCUGGACAGACUCCACUCCCUGGAUCAUGCCUGCCUCGCCUCCAUCAGGACCUCGAUGAUCCCCAAGGACUCGGAGCCAGCACGAGGAGGAGAGGAAUAGGAGAGGGCGAGAUGUCAUGAAGCGCUGAGGGAGGAGCAGUGAGCCAGAACCCAGCGAGAGGUCAUCCACCCUUACAUAACUGGCCUGGAAACACACCUGGAGAGGAGGUUUCAUGAUCUGGACAUUCUUGGGGCCUUCAGUAUCUUGGGACCCGCACCGCAAUCAACCACUCUACAAGAUGAUACAAUCAACAUCUCUCAUCUGCGGACUCUUGCCAGGAAAUGUUGCCCUGAACAUGAGAAUGAGGUCCUGCAGGAGUGGUCCUCGUUCAAAAAUCAU